AAUCAACGCUGGCGGCGUGCCUCAAACAUGCAAGUCGAACGCGAAAGCUCCCUUCGGGGUGCAAGUAGAGUGGCGCACGGGUGAGUAACACGUAGGUAAUCUACCUUUGGAUUGGGAAUAACAACCGGAAACGGUUGCUAAUACCGAAUAAUGCAGCGGCACCUAAUGGUGACAGUUGUUAAAGCGGGGGAUCGCAAGACCUCGCGUCUGAAGAGGAGCCUGUGGCAGAUUAGCUAGUUGGUAAGGUAACGGCUUACCAAGGCGAUGAUCUGUAGCCGGCCUGAGAGGGCGGUCGGCCACACUGACACUGACAUACGGGUCAGACUCCUACGGGAGGCAGCAGUCGGGAAUUUUGGGCAAUGGGCGAAAGCCUGACCCAGCAACGCCGCGUGAAGGAUGAAAUCCCUCGGGAUGUAAACUUCGCAAGAACGGGAAGAAUAAGUGAGAGUUAAUAUCUUUCACGAUGACGGUACUGUUUGUAAGCUCCGGCUAACUCCAUGCCAGCAGCCGCGGUAAUACGGGGGGAGCAAGCGUUGUUCGGAUUUACUGGGCGUAAAGGGCGCGUAUGCGGCCACCGCAAGUCGACUGUGAAAUCUCCGGGCUUAACCGG
rnacentral:rRNA from 1 species